UACGUAGGGGGCUAGCGUUGUCCGGAAUCAUUGGGCGUAAAGCGCGUGUAGGCGGUCCGGUAAGUCCGCUGUGAAAGUCGGGGGCUCAACCCUCGGAUGCCGGUGGAUACUGUCGGGCUUGAGUACGGAAGAGGCGAGUGGAAUUCCUGGUGUAGCGGUGAAAUGCGCAGAGUAUCAAGGAGGACACCGGUGGCGAAGGCGG
rnacentral:rRNA from 1 species